rnacentral:tRNA from 1 species
CAAAUUAAAGCUUUAAUAAGCGUUUUAUUUACGUUAAAGAGAUUAUUUUAACGAGUAUAGUUUGA